rnacentral:lncRNA from 1 species
GGAAACAGACUCUGAGAUGGAGAUGAGUGUGCAGGGGUGUGUGGAGAGCUCUUGGGAAUAGCACCUUUAAAAAGGCAACAUGAACGGAGGAUUGGAAAGAGCGAAAGAGUAAUACAUCAGAAGUAGAUGUUUGCAGUGUGCUGAGUUUGACCAAAAUCAAAGCCGAAGCUGUCUAUUGGACGGGUAAAGUUUCUGCUACAAGGCGUUUUGGAAACCACAGAAGGGAAGAGCAUGACACCAGUUCUCCCCGAAAGAUCAAAGGGAGAUUCCGAUGCAGGUCUCCAGGCCGCUGAGUAAAGCGUCGCCUAACUUGCCCUCCAUUGAUCCCCAGGAUGUAAAGCUCUACUUGGCGUCUUGGACAGCGAGAUUGGCUGUGGGAAGCUUCCCUUCCGCUGUCUGGUGCUUAGAGGCCGGGCACAUAGAGACGUCUCUCUGAGCUCUUGACCUUUGUGGGUUUGGAAUAACAGGCAGGAAGAUGCCCCGAAGGGAGCAUUUGGAGAGAGAGAAGCAGGACCCCGGGAGGCGUCAAUGUCCUUGCCGUGGCACCAUCAUGUCUUUGCUCCAUGGAGAAGAGAUGAAAACGGGAGCCUCUUUGCUGCAAAGCCGAUGAGGCCAAGCUCCCAAAGCGAGAAGCAAAACAUAGGCAAGGAGCAGCAUCUCUCACCCCGGCUCUUGAAUCCACUGCUGACCUGCGGUCACAUAGUCAAAUUCAUCUCAGCCUUUACUGCAUCCUAUAAGCUUUCCUGACUCAAACCCACAUUCAUCCCCUAUCCAUCUCAAAGCUAUGGGAUUUUGUGAAUAGAACCCAUGGUAAUUUUUUCAAACACUCCAUCUAUAGAGAUCUGUGUACCUGAAGAAGCAGUAGAACUACAGGGAGCCUGAUAGGGCAGGAUAACUCCAAAGUUAGUUAAGAGUGAAAUCAGGGCUACCAAAGUUUAAGUCAGCCCAAGACAGACUGACCAUGCCCAACCUGUAUAUGAUGACCCUGUACGUCUGAGCACAGGGCCGCUCACCAUCACCCCUCCAUCUCAGUGCCUGAGCCCUCCAUCACCUGAGCACUGUGCUUCUAACCAUUAUUGCACCCCCAGACCCCAGUCUGCCUUCAGUCUGGCAUUAAACAAAGAGCACUACAUCUUUUCCCGAUGGCCAACCACACAGAUCCACCCUGGCACAUGCACACCUGAAAGGCAGGAUCCUGCUAGGAUCACGAUGGGAUGCACAUCAGCCGAGAUCGUCCACCUGGAGAGCUGUGACUCCAUGGCACCAACUGUGGGUGGCAGGCCCACUGGGUGAGCACCAGAGGAAAUGAAGAAGUGGAAUUCUCUCAUGGGACUUGUACAUUGAGUGCAAAUAAACAGAAGACAGUCAGUGCCAACACAUCUGAUGGUGGCACCUAAUGGGAAGUCCACAGGACCCCCUGCAGAGAUUCCUAGAGCUGCCCUAAUCCCUCCCUUUCCCGAGCACUGGUUUUUCUGAUUUUCUCAAUUUUUUAAUAAGUUAGAAGUCAUUCCUGUGGCUUGCAGAAUAGAACCUAAACUGACACUGGGUACCACCUUCUGGAAGAGAAGCAAUGGCCUUAAGAUUCUUCAGAAAGAGAGAGAUUUCCUGAGUAAUGGAUCUUUAACCCCUGAUCUAGUUUGGUGAAUAUGGACAGUUCAUGGUGACCUUAAUUCUUGAUUGUGGCAGGAAGCACCAGUAAGCUAUGCCACUCAGGAAGACCUGACCGGGUUCCGGUGGAGAAGCAUUUUAAUCCAGCCACAUGCUGAGGCUUGUGAAGGUUUUCCUUUUGGUUGACCAUAAAAAGAGCCCCAGUGGGAACAACAUCUUCCCAGGUCCCAAAAAUAUAAACAGGGGUCUCCCAGACUUCAAAUCCACCCUUUCAGACAUGGGUGUUUUCACGUCUCCGCAUCUGUGGCAAAGGGAAGGGGCUCAGAACUGGAAGUUACCAGACAGGAUUAUCUCCAGCUUGGCCAGUUGUUUGGUGAGAAUUGCUCUUGGGAAACUUCUCUUCCUUAUCUUUGGAGAAAGGCCAAGGUCAGAGGCAAAAACAAAGUCUGAUGCAGAUUGCUAUCUCCAUUUUCUUGGAACCAACCCUCUCGUUUUCCAAGGCUGGAAAAGAGGAAGAGAACAUCGCUGGAGGAAAGAGACAGAAAAGGGAAGGCGAGCUCAGCCCCCUCGCCAGCCUGGCUGUGCCGAGUUCCUGGAGCAUCACAGGACUCUGCUAGUGCUUGUGGGUUUCUGAUCCUCUUGCCCAUGUUUUGGGGAAAUUUUCUGUACUUUUAGCCAGACUCCAGGCUUGGUUUGGCAUCACCCAGGAUCCCAGAUCGGGAGUCCCAAUCCCUGCACCUCCUUCUUCCGCCUCAGGUCAUUACUCUUCCCCAGCCGCAGGCUAUGCAGUGAAUGAGCUUCUUAGAUCCAAUUUGUCUAGGACUCUGACACCCAUCAGCUCUUUUCAGGUUCCUUUUUAUGCUCUCCCGAUUUGUGCUUCCAGGAGCUAAAUUCUUGACCAUGGUCACUUCUUACCUAGACCCUUCCUACCCUAUUGAGCGCUCUGGUCUAAAUGAUCCUGCAGUUCCCAGGGUCCUGGAUCCACCCCAGACCUGACAUCAAUGUCUGAAGGAGACUUUUUCCUGCAGAAAAGCUUUUAAAGAGUGGAGACACUGUAAACAUUGU